UACGUAGGCAGCGAGCGUUGUUCGGAGUUACUGGGCGUAAAGCGUGCGUAGGCGGUCUUGUAAGUUUGGUGUGAAAUCUCCCGGCUCAACUGGGAGGGUGCGCCGAAAACUGCAAGGCUGGAGUAUGGGAGAGGUAGGCGGAAUUCCUGGUGUAGCGGUGGAAUGCGUAGAGAUCGGCAGGAACACCCAGGGGGAAACCAGUCGACUGGGCAUCUACUGACGCUGAGGUGCGAGAGCGUGGGGAGCGAACCGG
rnacentral:rRNA from 1 species